rnacentral:rRNA from 1 species
CCGGCUAACUUCGUGCCAGCAGCCGCGGUAAUACGAAGGGACCUAGCGUAGUUCGGAAUUACUGGGCUUAAAGAGUUCGUAGGUGGUUGAAAAAGUUGGUGGUGAAAUCCCAGAGCUUAACUCUGGAACUGCCAUCAAAACUUUUCAGCUAGAGUAUGAUAGAGGAAAGCAGAAUUUCUAGUGUAGAGGUGAAAUUCGUAGAUAUUAGAAAGAAUACCAAUUGCGAAGGCAGCUUUCUGGAUCAUUACUGACACUGAGGAACGAAAGCAUGGGUAGCGAAGAGGAUUAGAUACCCUCGUAGUCCAUGCCGUAAACGAUGUGUGUUAGACGUUGGAAAUUUAUUUUCAGUGUCGCAGGGAAACCGAUAAACACACCGCCUGGGGAGUACGACCGCAAGGUUAAAACUCAAAUGAAUUGACGGGGACCCGCACAAGUAGUGGAGCAUGUGGUUUAAUUCGAAGAUACGCGCAGAACCUUACCAACACUUGACAUGUUCGUCGCGACUCUAAGAGAUUAGAGUUUUCGGUUCGGCCGGACGAAACACAGGUGCUGCAUGGCUGUCGUCAGCUCGUGUCGUGAGAUGUUGGGUUAAGUCCCGCAACGAGCGCAACCCUCACUUUUAGUUGCCAUCAUUAAGUUGGGCACUCUGAAAGAACUGCCAGUGAUAAGCUGGAGGAAGGUGGGGAUGACGUCAAGUCCUCAUGGCCCUUACGUGUUGGGCUACACACGUGCUACAAUGGUAUCUACAACAGGAAGCAAGACUGCGAAGUUAAGCAAAUCCCUAAAAGAUACCUCAGUUCGGAUUGCACUCUGCAACUCGAGUGCAUGAAGCUGGAAUUACUAGUAAUCGUGGAUCAGCGUGCCACGGUGAAUGCGUUCCCGGGUCUUGUACACACCGCCCGUCACACCAUGGGAGUUGGUUCUACCUUAAGGCAAGGUUUUAAACCCUUGACCACGGUAUAGUCAGCGACUGGGGUGAAGUCGUAACAAGGUAACC